rnacentral:pre_miRNA from 1 species
AGAAAAUUUAUUUGUCAGUCGUGUCGGUGGGAGAAACUGACUUCGACUUUACCCAUCAGUCAGUCUUUUUCUCUCUCCUAUACGAUCGGCAAGCAAGCAUCG